UACGUAGGGUGCAAGCGUUAAUCGGAAUUACUGGGCGUAAAGCGUGCGCAGGCGGUCUUGCAAGACAGAUGUGAAAUCCCCGGGCUUAACCUGGGAACUGCAUUUGUGACUGCAAGGCUGGAGUACGGUAGAGGGGGAUGGAAUUCCGCGUGUAGCAGUGAAAUGCGUAGAUAUCAGGAGGAAUACCGAUGGCGAAGGCAGGUUGCUGGGCUAACACUGACGCUCAUGCACGAAAGCGUGGGGAGCAAACAGG
rnacentral:rRNA from 1 species